AACGAACGCUGGCGGCAUGCCUAACACAUGCAAGUCGAACGAGACCUUCGGGUCUAGUGGCGCACGGGUGCGUAACGCGUGGGAACCUGCCUUUAGGUUCGGAAUAACUCAGAGAAAUUUGAGCUAAUACCGGAUGAUGUCUUCGGACCAAAGAUUUAUCGCCUUUAGAUGGGCCCGCGUUGGAUUAGCUAGUUGGUGGGGUAAAGGCCUACCAAGGCGACGAUCCAUAGCUGGUCUGAGAGGAUGAUCAGCCACACUGGGACUGAGACACGGCCCAGACUCCUACGGGAGGCAGCAGUGGGGAAUAUUGGACAAUGGGCGAAAGCCUGAUCUAGCAAUGCCGCGUGAGUGAUGAAGGCCUUAGGGUUGUAAAGCUCUUUUACCCGAGAUGAUAAUGACAGUAUCGGGAGAAUAAGCUCCGGCUAACUCCGUG
rnacentral:rRNA from 1 species